rnacentral:rRNA from 1 species
UACGAAGGGGGCUAGCGUUGUUCGGAUUUACUGGGCGUAAAGGGCGCGUAGGCGGUUUGACAAGUCAGGCGUGAAAGUCCCGGGCUUAACCUGGGGACUGCGUUUGAUACUGUCAGGCUUGAAUGUGAGAGAGGAUGGCGGAAUUCCCAGUGUAGAGGUGAAAUUCGUAGAUAUUGGGAAGAACACCGGUGGCGAAGGCGGCCAUCUGGCUCAUGAUUGACGCUGAGGCGCGAAAGCGUGGGGAGCAAAC